rnacentral:rRNA from 1 species
GCCGAACGCUGGCGGCGUGCCUAAUACAUGCAAGUCGAGCGCAGGAAGCCGUCUGAACCCUUCGGGGGGACGACGGUGGAAUGAGCGGCGGACGGGUGAGUAACACGUAAAGAACCUGCCCAUAGGUCUGGGAUAACCACGAGAAAUCGGGGCUAAUACCGGAUGUGUCAUCGGACCGCAUGGUCCGCUGAUGAAAGGCGCUCCGGCGUCCCCCAUGGAUGGCUUUGCGGUGCAUUAGCUAGUUGGUGGGGUAACGGCCCACCAAGGCGACGAUGCAUAGCCGACCUGAGAGAGUGAUCGGCCACACUGGGACUGUGACACGGCCCAGACUCCUACGGGGGGCAGCAGUAGGGAAUCUUCCACAAUGGACGAAAGCCUGAUGGAGCAACGCCGCGUGAACGAUGAAGGCUUUCGGGUCGUAAAGUUCUGUUGUAAGGGAAGAACAAGUGCCGCAGGCAAUGGCGGCACCUUGACGGUACCUUGCGAGAAAGCCACGGCUAACUACGUGCCAGCAGCCGCCGUAA